CCCAAAAGACAAUAAAACAAUUGGUAUUAUUGAAUUAUUUUGUUUUAAAAACCAGAAAAUGCUUUGGUUUUUAAUUCUACAUCUGAAAUUGUGAUCGGCAUAUGAACUUCAUUUAUGCACAUAUUUUAAUAAGAAGACGUGCAUUUUAACUAAUAUAUUAAAUUAUAUAACUAGUGCAGCUCCUUUAGCAAAAAUAUCAACAGAAACUUACUAAUAAUUAUUCAUUUUACAUGCAAGAAUCAUCGAGAUCGGCAUCCCACCAAUGUCGUCCUGUACUCGAGCGAUCGAGUCUCGACUGAUUUAUAUCAUUAUGAUUAUGAUAACAAUACCUUGAAAGUAAGAUAGUGGUUUAAAAAGAAAAAGUAAUUGUUUACACCUGCACGUUAAUCCAAGUUUAAGGCGUCUAGCUGUGCCUUGUUCACACCUGUUGUCAUGUGAUUAAAAUAUAAAAGAUGACUUAGGAAUUGUUAUGGAGAUAACACUAUUGUAAAUAUGCUUUGAAUAAACAGCCAUUGUUUUCAA